rnacentral:rRNA from 1 species
AUACGGAGGGUGCGAGCGUUACUCGGAGUCACUGGGCGUAAAGCGUCCGUAGGCGGUCGGGUAAGUCGGGUGUGAAAGCCCCGGGCUCAACCUGGGAAGUGCACCCGAUACUGCUCGACUCGAGUGCGGGAGAGGAUGGCGGAAUUCCGGGUGUAGCGGUGAAAUGCGUAGAGAUCGGGAGGAACACCAGUGGCGAAGGCGGCCAUCUGGCCCGCAACUGACGCUGAGGGACGAAAGCGUGGGGAGCAAACAGGAUUAGAAACCCUAGUAGUCC